AUUCCCCUAGUAACGGCGAGUGAAGCGGGAAGAGCUCAAAUUURAAAUCUGGCGGUGUAUUCCGUCCGAGUUGUAGUCUAGAGAAGCAUCAUCCGCGCCGGACCAUGUACAAGUCUCUUGGAACAGAGCGUCAUAGAGGGUGAGAAUCCCGUCCUUGACAUGGACUCCCGGUGCUUUGYGUUGUGCUCUCGACGAGUCGAGUUGUUUGGGAAUGCAGCUCAAAAUGGGUGGUAAAUUCCAUCUAAAGCUAAAUAUUGGCGAGAGACCGAUAGCGAACAAGUACCGUGAGGGAAAGAUGAAAAGCACUUUGGAGAGAGAGUUAAACAGUACGUGAAAUUGUUGAAAUGGAAACGAUUGAAGUCAGUCGCGUUCUCUGGGAUUCAGCCUUGCUUCUGCUUGGUGCAUUUCCUAGUCUACGGGCCAGCAUGGAUUUCGACCGUUGGAAAAAGGCUGGGGGAAUGUGGCACCUUCGGGUGUGUUAUAGCCCCUUGUCACAUACAUCGGUUGGGAUCGAGGACCUCAGUGCACGCUUCGGUUGUGCUUUGAUGCUGGCGUAAUGGCUUUAAACGACCCGUCUUGAAACACGGACCAAGGAGUCUAACAUGUCUGCGAGUGUUUGGGUGAAAAACUCGGACGCGCAAUGAAAGUGAUAGUUGGGAACCUUUCACGAGGGGCACCGACGCCCGGACCAGACCUUCUGUGACGGAUCCGAGGUAGAGCAUAUAUGUUGGGACCCGAAAGAUGGUGAACUAUGCCUGCAUAGGGUGAAGCCAGAGGAAACUCUGGUGGAGGCUCGUAGCGAUUCUGACGUGCAAAUCGAUCGUCAAAUGUGGGUAUAGGGGCGAAAGACUAAUCGAACCAUUGUUGUUGCUACUCGGUGGUUA
rnacentral:rRNA from 1 species